rnacentral:tRNA from 1 species
GGCACUUUGGCCGAGUGGUUAUGGCGCUGCGUUCAGGAAGACCUGUUCAACGUUUCGCAGUGGAGCAAUCCGCGUGGGUUCGAGUCCCACAGGUGUCA